rfam:Echinostoma caproni strain Egypt genome assembly, scaffold: ECPE_scaffold0003217
GCACUGCUGACGAGUCCCAAACAAGACAAAACAGCUGUCCAGUGC